GAUGAACGCUGGCGGCGUGCCUAAUACAUGCAAGUCGAGCGAACAGACGAGGAGCUUGCCCCUCUGAUGUUAGCGGCGGACGGGUGAGUAAAACGUGGAUAACCUACCUAUAAGACUGGGAUAACUUCGGGAAACCGGAGCUAAAACCGGAUAACAUGUUGAACCGCAUGGUUCAACAGUGGAAGACGGUCUUGCUGUCACUUAUAGAUGGAUCCGCGCCGCAUUAGCUAGUUGGUAAGGUAACGGCUUACCAAGGCAACGAUGCGUAGCCGACCUGAGAGGGUGAUCGGCCACACUGGAACUGAGACACGGUCCAGACUCCUACGGGAGGCAGCAGUAGGGAAUCUUCCGCAAUGGGCGAAAGCCUGACGGAGCAACGCCGCGUGAGUGAAGAAGGUCUUCGGAUCGUAAAACUCUGUUAUUAGGGAAGAACAAAUGUGUAAGUAACUAUGCACGUCUUGACGGUACCUAAUCAGAAAGCCACGGCUAACUACGUG
rnacentral:rRNA from 1 species